CUACGGGAUGCAGCAGUGAGGAAUCUUGCGCAAUGGGGGAAACCCUGACGCAGCGACGCCGCGUGGGUGAUGAAGGCCUUCGGGUCGUAAAGCCCUGUCGAGAGGGAAGAAUUGCAUUUAGGUUAAUAGCCUAAUUGUUUGACGGUACCUCCAAAGGAAGCACCGGCUAACUCCGUGCCAGCAGCCGCGGUAAUACGGAGGGUGCAAGCGUUGUUCGGAAUCACUGGGCGUAAAGGGCGUGUAGGCGGCUGAGUAAGUCAGGUGUGAAAUCCCUCGGCUCAACCGAGGAAGUGCAUUUGAUACUGCUCAUCUUGAGUACUGGAGAGGGAGAUGGAAUUCCCGGUGUAGAGGUGAAAUUCGUAGAUAUCGGGAGGAAUACCAGUGGCGAAGGCGAUCUCCUGGACAGAUACUGACGCUAAGGCGCGAAAGCGUGGGGAGCAAACAGGAUUAGAUACCCUGGUAGUC
rnacentral:rRNA from 1 species